rnacentral:rRNA from 1 species
GAAUUCGCCCUUAGAGUUUGAUCCUGGCUCAGGAUGAACGCUGGCGGCGUGCCUAACACAUGCAAGUCGAACGGAGUUACGAGAGCUUGCUUUUGUAACUUAGUGGCGGACGGGUGAGUAAUGUAUGAGCAACCUGCCUUUCAGAGGGGGACAACAGUUGGAAACGACUGCUAAUACCGCAUAAUGUAUCCGGGCGGCAUCGCCUGGAUACCAAAGGAGCAAUCCGCUGAAAGAUGGGCUCAUAUCUGAUUAGUUAGUUGGUAGGGUAACGGCCUACCAAGACUGCGAUCAGUAGCCGGACUGAGAGGUUGAACGGCCACAUUGGGACUGAGAUACGGCCCAGACUCCUACGGGAGGCAGCAGUGGGGAAUAUUGGGCAAUGGGCGAAAGCCUGACCCAGCAACGCCGCGUGAAGGAAGAAGGUCUUCGGAUUGUAAACUUCUUUUAUAAGGGACGAAGAAAGUGACGGUACCUUAUGAAUAAGCCACGGCUAACUACGUGCCAGCAGCCGCGGUAAUACGUAGGUGGCAAGCGUUAUCCGGAUUUACUGGGUGUAAAGGGCGCGUAGGCGGGGAUGCAAGUCAGAUGUGAAAUCUAUGGGCUUAACCCAUAAACUGCACUUGAAACUGUUUUUCUUGAGUGCUGGAGAGGUAGACGGAAUUCCUUGUGUAGCGGUGAAAUGCGUAGAUAUAAGGGAGAACACCAGUGGCGAAGGCGGUCUACUGGACAGUAACUGACGCUGAGGCGCGAAAGCGUGGGGAGCAAACAGGAUUAGAUACCCUGGUAGUCCACGCAGUAAACGAUGAAUAUUAGCUGUUGGCGAUAUACAGUCAGCGGUAAAGCGAAAGUGUUAAGUAUUCCACCUGGGGAGUACGCCGGCAACGGUGAAACUCAAAGGAAUUGACGGGGGCCCGCACAAGCGGAGGAACAUGUGGUUUAAUUCGAUGAUACGCGAGGAACCUUACCCGGGCUUGAAAGUUAGUGACGAUCACUGAAAGGCGAUUUCCCUUCGGGGCACGAAACUAGGUGCUGCAUGGUUGUCGUCAGCUCGUGCCGUGAGGUGUCGGCUUAAGUGCCUUAACGAGCGCAACCCCUGUUGUUAGUUGCCAUCAGGUAAUGCUGGGAACUCUAACAAGACUGCUACUGUAAGGUAGAGGAGGGUGGGGAUGACGUCAAAUCAGCACGGCCCUUACGUCCGGGGCGACACACGUGUUACAAUGGGGGGUACAGAGGGUUGCUACCACGCGAGUGGAUGCUAAUCUCAUAAAACCUCUCUCAGUUCGGAUCGGAGUCUGCAACUCGACUCCGUGAAGCUGGAUUCGCUAGUAAUCGCGCAUCAGCCAUGGCGCGGUGAAUACGUUCCCGGGCCUUGCACUCACCGCCCGUCA